UCGGGAAUUUUGGGCAAUGGGCGAAAGCCUGACCCAGCAACGCCGCGUGAAGGAUGAAAUCCCUCGGGAUGUAAACUUCGCAAGAACGGGGAGAAUAAGCCGGUGUGAACACCACCGGCGAUGACGGUACCGUUUGUAAGCUCCGGCUAACUCCGUG
rnacentral:rRNA from 1 species